rnacentral:tRNA from 1 species
AGGGGUGUCGUCCAACGGUUAAGAUAGAAGUCUCCAAAACUUUUGAUGAGGGUUCGAUUCCUUCCACCCCUGCCA